rnacentral:rRNA from 1 species
CAGUCGCCGCGGGAAUACGUAGGUGGCAAGCGUUGUCCGGAAUUAUUGGGCGUAAAGGGCUCGCAGGCGGUUUCUUAAGUCUGAUGUGAAAGCCCCCGGCUCAACCGGGGAGGGUCAUUGGAAACUGGGAAACUUGAGUGCAGAAGGGGAGAGUGGAAUUCCACGUGUAGCGGUGAAAUGCGUAGAGAUGUGGAGGAACACCAGUGGCGAAGGCGACUCUCUGGUCUGUAACUGACGCUGAGGAGCGAAAGCGUGGGGAGCGAACAGGAUUAGAGACCCCUGUAGUCCCUGUCUCUUAUAC